UACGUAGGUGGCAAGCGUUGUCCGGAUUUACUGGGCGUAAAGAGCGCGCAGGCGGUCGUUCAAGUCGCGUGUGAAAGCCCCCGGCUCAACUGGGGAGGGUCACGCGAUACUGAUCGACUCGAAGGCAGGAGAGGGUAGUGGAAUUCCCGGUGUAGUGGUGAAAUGCGUAGAUAUCAGGAGGAACACCCGUGGCGAAGGCGGCUCCUGGGGCCGAUCCUGACACUGGAGAAGCGAAAGCUAGGGGAGCGAACGGG
rnacentral:rRNA from 1 species